rnacentral:rRNA from 1 species
ACUCGUGACGGUGGAUGUCUUGGCUCCAGCAACGAUGAAGAACGCAGCAAAAUGCGAUACGUAGUGCGAAUUGCAGAACCCGUGAAUCAUCGAAUCUUUUGAACGCAAGUUGCGCUCGCGGGCAAUCCUGCGAGCAUGUCUGUUUGAGUGUCCGCACAAAU